rnacentral:rRNA from 1 species
GUUUUCAUUAAUCAGGAACGAAAGUUAGGGGAUCGAAGACGAUCAGAUACCGUCGUAGUCUUAACCAUAAACUAUACCGACUAGGGAUCGGACGGUGUUAUUUUUUGACCCGUUCGGCACCUUACGAGAAAUCAAAGUGCUUGGGCUCCAGGGGGAGUAUGGUCGCAAGGCUGAAACUUAAAGAAAUUGACGGAAGGGCACCACCAGGGGUGGAGCCUGCGGCUUAAUUUGACUCAACACGGGGAAACUCACCAGGUCCAGACACAAUGAGGAUUGACAGAUUGAGAGCUCUUUCUUGAUUUUGUGGGUGGUGGUGCAUGGCCGUUCU